ACUCCUGCGGGAGGCAGCAGUGGGGAAUUUUGGACAAUGGGCGAAAGCCUGAUCCAGCAAUGCCGCGUGCAGGAUGAAGGCCUUCGGGUUGUAAACUGCUUUUGUACGGAACGAAAAAGCUCCUUCUAAUACAGGGGGCCCAUGACGGUACCGUAAGAAUAAGCACCGGCUAACUACGUGCCAGCAGCCGCGGUAAUACGUAGGGUGCGAGCGUUAAUCGGAAUUACUGGGCGUAAAGCGUGCGCAGGCGGUUAUGUAAGACAGAUGUGAAAUCCCCGGGCUCAACCUGGGAACUGCAUUUGUGACUGCAUGGCUAGAGUACGGUAGAGGGGGAUGGAAUUCCGCGUGUAGCAGUGAAAUGCGUAGAUAUGCGGAGGAACACCGAUGGCGAAGGCAAUCCCCUGGACCUGUACUGACGCUCAUGCACGAAAGCGUGGGGAGCAAACAGGAUUAGAUACCCCGGUAGUCCCAUG
rnacentral:rRNA from 1 species